rnacentral:lncRNA from 1 species
GGGACCAAAUAGCUAAAUUUUUUUUGAUCUGCAAAGCCUCAGGCAGUUAGCACAAACCAGGAAGAGCCAGGGCCCCUGAUUUGGCAGGCAGAACAGGCAGAGCCUCAGUGGAUCAUUCUUGGUCAAUUCUGCACUUUUUUUCAACCAAAUCUACUUGCCUCGAGGGGAAGCAUCCCAAGGACCAAAAGCAGACCUCAGGCCUCUCUGCAAACCUCCAGGUGGGCAUAGUCAUUGCUGGCACUUCAGAGAGGGGGACCCUCAUGCUGCUGGGUCAUACUGUACAGCCCAGAGGGACAAAGUGGCCAAGAAUGGAGUCAAAGAAGAGCUCAAGAGUAGAACCAAAGAGAAGCUCAAGUCUUGCAGUUCUCCUUGCAGCUGGGGAAGACACUGCUCCAGGUUUGACAUCCCAUGUACCACCUUAGACACAUGCUUCUGGUUAGCGCAGAAGUGAGGCUGGGAGAGUGAUGGGUGGAGGGAGGGAUUGGGAGAAAUAACCAAAUGAAAAAGGAAAGUAUAUUUGGAAAAGCAAAAGCAGCCCCCUUUUUC